rnacentral:rRNA from 1 species
GAUGAACGCUAGCGGCAGGCUUAAUACAUGCAAGUCGUGGGGCAGCAGUUCCGUAGCAAUACGGGAGCUGGCGACCGGCAAACGGGUGCGGAACACGUACACAACCUUCCUUUAAGUGGGGAAUAGCCCAGAGAAAUUUGGAUUAAUACCCCGUAACAUUAUGAAGUGGCGUCACUUUAUAACUAUAGCUCCGGCACUUAAUGAUUGGUGUGCGUCUGAUUAGGUAGUUGGCGGAGUAAUAGCCCACCAAGCCUACGAUCAGUAACUGGUGUGAGAGCACGACCAGUCACACGGGCACUGAGACACGGGCCCGACUCCUACGGGAGGCAGCAGUAAGGAAUAUUGGGCAAUGGACGCAAGUCUGACCCAGCCAUGCCGCGUGGAGGAUGAAGAUCCUCUGGAUUGUAAACUUCUUUUAUCUGGGAAGAAAUCCAUCUUUUCUUGGGUGGUUGACGGUACCAGAUGAAUAAGCACCGGCUAACUCCGUGCCAGCAGCCGCAGUAACAC